rnacentral:lncRNA from 1 species
GCGGACUCCUCACAGCCAGCGUGUGGCAGGAAUUAUUAUUAUCCCAACAUUCUCCAGAGGAGGAAACCCAGGCUCAGAGUGGUGAGUGAGGAAUGAACGGGUGAGAGUGUGAGGGAGUCCAUGGGGUCAGGCCAGUCUCUCAGAGGCUUUCAGGACGAACAGCACUCACACCGCCCUGCGAGCGCCCAUUCCUGGAAACGAGGUUUCCUCUUGGGUCCCAGCCCUUGCCCACCCCCAUCAAGGAGCAUGGGCCCAGGCCACCGGAGCUGCUGAAUAUUUAUUUGGCCCCAGGAGCAGUGCAGGGAUGGGCUGUGUUGGAAGAGAGAGGAGAGCAGACGAGGAUGGCUGAUUGUCAAAGCAGGGGGCAGGACCCGGGGGCAGGAGAAACCAGGCUGCCUUCCCUUCCCGGGGUCCCUGGGGCAUCUGGGUGUGUCCGCGAGGGUCGGGGGAGUGUGCUGGAAAGUUGUCGUGAUUGGCAUCGUUG